rnacentral:lncRNA from 1 species
UCUUUCUACACACACACACACACACACACACACACACACUGGCCCAGAAGACAGGUUCUAAGGCAAGGGGUGGAGCUCAGGUUCACAGGGCUCACAGGCCCAUUUCCCUCAGGAACUGGAAGUUGUCUCCUGGAACUUCAACUGAUCUUCUUCUAGAAAGAUUAUGCAUCUACUGUCAGGAAGCUCCAAGGCAAAACUUGUAUCAUGGUUCCUUGACUUAAGUUUUAAAAAAACCUUCCUACAGGAACAUGACUUUCUGCCAUUUCAGACAAAUCCAAUCAUGGCCAAUUGUCAUCUGACCAAUUUUGUUUUUUAACAGUGCUGGGGAUUGAAGCCAGGGCCUCAAGAAUGCUAGACAAGUGCUCCGCCACUGAGCUACACUCUCAGUCCCAUCUUACCAGUGUUUUAAAAUUUUAAAUGUUAGACCUCGGUGUUUAUUUUCUCUUUUUUUAUUGGUGAUUUCCCAACCCAAGUGCAUAAAAACAAAACUAUUUUUUCUUUUUGUUAUAACUGAACAUUUCCAAGGGCAAGAGAACAGCAUUAAUAAAUGAAACUUUAAGCACACACAUAUAUAAUUAUCCAUUAUAUACACAUGAGAGGAUCACACAUAAUUAGUGUCUCAUUGUCACCUAUUCAGAACCACACCCAGUCCCACACAAGGGAUGUGACCUGCGCACACCUCUGCACAGCUCUUUUUGCCUUUGUUUCUUCUUCUCUAAAAUAAUGAUAAUAAUUUCCCUUUCCCUUUUCAAAAGUUUCUUGGGAGAAAAUGUGCAUGCACCUGAUUCAUAAAAUGUAAGGUAUGACCAUACUUAACAUCGGGUGCUCUUGACAGAGACAGAAACUGAGACCCAAUGUCCUUGACUUGACACAUAGGGAGGUACCUACUUGGGAACCAGGUGUUUUUAACUGGGGACACACACACUCAGCUUAGUGCCUCCUGCUUGCUGCUGAGCUGUCUGGUCACAGUUACCUGAACACAGGGCCCAGGGUUGGGGCAGUGCCAGGACCAGGGCCUGGGCCCAGGGGAAGGCAGCUGAGGCCAUUGUGCUAAGCAGCCUGUGGCAUACUGGAGGGGCUAUGAGGAGGAAGGAAACUUCUUUGCUCUUGGAUCUGAUAUUCUUUCUCCAAAGCCAACAAAGUGAUGCUACAAUGUUGAGCCCUGUAUCUCAAGCCCCUCCAGCCUCCUCCCUCUGGCUGUGCUUCUCUUUGUCUCCUAGCCCUUACCCCUGUCCCACACUGUCUCUGGAGCCCUUUUGCUCAUUGCCCACCCCAUUGAUUGAAAGUCUCUCUCAGGUUCUCCAAGGAAUCCCAGGAAAAAUGAUCCGCCAGCCUAUUGAUUCUUCAUUAGAAUUACAUUUUCACGUGUGCUAAAUUGGUUUUAAAAGCUUUUUCUGUUGUUAUUGUCUUGUCAGACCCUGCGGUCCAGGGCAAACCAAGUUUAAACGUUGUGGCUUCUUAGGGGGAAAAAAAUCACCAGGGCUGGGUCUGUGAUUACCUACUUUUCUGCCUUAUUGUUGUCAUGAUGACAAUUGUGAUUUGGUUUAAGUAUCUUUAAGAAAAGGGCCCUGUAGGAGACUACUUAGGUCAGGCUGGAGCUGGCUAGUGAGGAAUCUGAAGCCCCUGGAGGAAAGACACCAGAG